GAUGAACGCUGGCGGCGUGCUUAACACAUGCAAGUCGAACGAAGCAUUUAGGACAGAUUACUUCGGUUUGAAGUUCUUUAUGACAGAGUGGCGGACGGGUGAGUAACGCGUGGGUAACCUGCCUUGUACUGGGGGAUAGCAGCUGGGAACGGCUGGUAAUACCGCAUAAGCGCACAAUGUUGCAUGACAUGGUGUGAAAAACUCCGGUGGUAUAAGAUGGACCCGCGUCUGAUUAGCUAGUUGGUGAGAUAACAGCCCACCAAGGCGACGAUCAGUAGCCGACCUGAGAGGGUGACCGGCCACAUUGGGACUGAGACACGGCCCAGACUCCUACGGGAGGCAGCAGUGGGGAAUAUUGCACAAUGGAGGAAACUCUGAUGCAGCGACGCCGCGUGAGUGAAGAAGUAAUUCGUUAUGUAAAGCUCUAUCAGCAGGGAAGAUAGUGACGGUACCUGACUAAGAAGCUCCGGCUAAAUACGUG
rnacentral:rRNA from 1 species